UAUGAUUUACAACAAUGUUAUUAGGGU
rnacentral:piRNA from 1 species